rnacentral:rRNA from 1 species
AACGAACGCUGGCGGCAUGCCUAACACAUGCAAGUCGAACGAGACCUUCGGGUCUAGUGGCGCACGGGUGCGUAACGCGUGGGAAUCUACCCUCAGGUUCGGAAUAACUCAGAGAAAUUUGAGCUAAUACCGGAUGAUGACGUAAGUCCAAAGAUUUAUCGCCUGAGGAUGAGCCCGCGUAGGAUUAGGUAGUUGGUGAGGUAAAGGCUCACCAAGCCGACGAUCCGUAGCUGGUCUGAGAGGAUGAUCAGCCACACUGGGACUGAGACACGGCCCAGACUCCUACGGGAGGCAGCAGUGGGGAAUAUUGGACAAUGGGCGAAAGCCUGAUCCAGCAAUGCCGCGUGAGUGAUGAAGGCCUUAGGGUUGUAAAGCUCUUUUACCCGGGAUGAUAAUGACAGUACCGGGAGAAUAAGCUCCGGCUAACUCCGUG